GCGGGGAUGGCGGAACUGGCAGACGCACAGGACUUAAAAUCCUGCGAGCUUUAGGCUCAUGAGGGUUCGAAUCCCUUUCUCCGCA
rnacentral:tRNA from 1 species